GGCUUAGACACUAACCUUCGUAUGCCCGAACAUUUCUAUAUUUUCUAUACAAUUGGGUUGCAUAUUUUGGUAUUUACAUGUCUUUACAUAAUGUCAGCUCUGAACCAUCUAAGUAAUGGUCCUGAUGAAUUUCUUGCUGGAGAUAAACAUCUAAACCUCUCUCAUGCACUUUAAUCUCCUUGAAUUUUGAUCUCAUCAGGAAUACAGAAGAAAUUUUCAUUACAGAACGAACAUGAAGAGUUCAAAAGUACUGUACUGUAUAAAUAGGACACAAUUGAAUGUAGCAGUGGCUUUUCGAGUUCUGUCUGCUUGUUUUAAGU